rnacentral:rRNA from 1 species
GAGGGCCGUAUUUAUUAGAUAACAGCCAAUAAGACUCGCGUCUAUUGUGGUGACUCAUAGUAACUAAUCGGAUCGCAUGGGCUCGUCCCGCGACAAACCAUUCAAGUUUCUGCCCCAUCAGCUUUCGAUGGUAGUGUAUUGGACUACCAUGGCGUUUACGGGUAACGGAGGAUUAGGGUUCGAUUCCGGAGAGGGAGCCUGAGAAACGGCUACCACUUCCACGGAAGGCAGCAGGCGCGUAAAUUACCCAAUCCUGAUUCAGGGAGGUAGU